GCUUACGGCCACACCCAACCUGGCUAUGCCCGAUCUCGUCUGAUCUCGGAAGCUAAGCAGGUUUGGGCCUGGUUAGUACUUGGAUGGGAGACCGCCUGGGAAUACCAGGUGCUGUAAGCU
rnacentral:rRNA from 1 species